CAGCAGCCGCGGUAAUACGAAGGGUGCAAGCGUUACUCGGAAUUACUGGGCGUAAAGCGUGCGUAGGUGGUGGUUUAAGUCCGUUGUGAAAGCCCUGGGCUCAACCUGGGAAUUGCAGUGGAUACUGGGUCACUAGAGUGUGGUAGAGGAUAGUGGAAUUUCCGGUGUAGCAGUGAAAUGCGUAGAGAUCGGAAGGAACAUCUGUGGCGAAGGCGACUAUCUGGGCCAACACUGACACUGAGGCACGAAAGCGUGGGGAGCAAACAGGAUUAGAUACCCGGGUAGUCCCUGUCUCUUAUAA
rnacentral:rRNA from 1 species